GUGUCAGCCGCCGCGGUAAGACGUAGGGUCCAAGCGUUGUCCGGAUUUACUGGGCGUAAAGAGCGCGUAGGCGGUCUGUUAAGUGUAGAGUGAAAUCUCCAGGGCUCAACCCGGAAACUGCUCUGCAUACUGGCAGACUGGAGUGAUGCAGAGGUUUGUGGAAUUCCUGGUGUAACGGUGAAAUGUGUUGAUAUCAGGAGGAACACCCAUGGCGAAGGCAGCAAACUGGGCAUUAACUGACGCUGAGGCGCGAAAGCGUGGGUAGCAAACAGGAUUAGAUACCCCAGUAGUCC
rnacentral:rRNA from 1 species